rnacentral:rRNA from 1 species
CCCUUAGAUGUUCUGGGCCGCACGCGCGCUACACUGACUGGUGCAACAAGGGUCGCUCCUUGGCCGAUAGGCCUGGGCAAUCUUUGAACGCCAGUCGUGAUGGGGAUAGAUUCUUGCAAUUUUUGAUCUUCAACGAGGAAUUCCUAGUAAACGCGAGUCAUCAACUCGCAUUGAUUACGUCCCUGCCCUUUGUACACACCGCCCGUCGCACCUACCGAUUGAAUGGUCCGGUGAACCCUCCGGAUCGGCUCGCGCCAACGCAAGUUGAGCAAAGGCCGAGAAGUUGGGUAAACCUUACCAUUUAGAGGAAGGUGAAGUCGUAACA